rnacentral:lncRNA from 1 species
CCCGAAAAGUAACAGAAAGCAUCCGGAGGUUCAGCCGGAAGUUGGGCCAGAACUUUCGGCGCCUGGAAUGGCCGGAAGUUGGGCCGGAACUUCCGGCCCCUGGGAAUUUGGAACACAAACCAACAUUUUGCACGGGGUUUUGUCAAAGACUCCUCUAAUGUAUUCUUAAUGUUUUGAGUUGUGAAAUAAAGCUUGUGUCUUUCCUAAUGUUUCAUACUACUAUCUUUUUCUCCCUGAUAAAUCCAUUGAUUGUUUCCAUUUCCCUUGAUUGUUCUGAGUGGAUCUUUUCCAUUGUGAUUUUUUCUUUUUUUAUUAUCACAUCGUCUCCAUUGAGAUAUUACUGAUCUGGGAAUGGAGUGACUGCUAAUCUAGGCAAAAGUCAGACCGAUUUAAUGCAACGAGCCACAAAUGCCAAGCUAAGUUCCUAGAGCAGACCACGAUACAAAACGGAGCAUAAAACCAAACACAAGUUAAUGCAACACUUUAUGAACCUCCCAUUUCCAUGUCAUUCUUAGCAGAUG